UUCCUGGUGGUCCAGUGGUUAGGACCCUGUGCUUCCAAAGCAAGGGACUCAGGUUUGAUCCCUGAUCAGGGAA
rnacentral:tRNA from 1 species